rnacentral:rRNA from 1 species
AACGAACGCUGGCGGCAUGCCUAACACAUGCAAGUCGAACGAGACCUUCGGGUCUAGUGGCGCACGGGUGCGUAACGCGUGGGAACCUGCCCUAGGUUCGGAAUAACUCCCCGAAAGGGGUGCUAAUACCGGAUAAUGUCUUCGGACCAAAGAUUUCUCGCCUUUGGAUGGGCCCGCGUUGGAUUAGCUAGUUGGUAGGGUAAAAGCCUACCAAGGCGACGAUCCAUAGCUGGUCUGAGAGGAUGAUCAGCCACACUGGGACUGAGACACGGCCCAGACUCCUACGGGAGGCAGCAGAGGGGAAUAUUGGACAAUGGGCGAAAGCCUGAUCCAGCAAUGCCGCGUGAGUGAUGAAGGCCGUAGGGUUGUAAAGCUCUUUUACCCGGGAUGAUAAUGACAGUACCGGGAGAAUAAGCUCCGGCUAACUCCGUG